AGAGUUUGAUCCUGGCUCAGGACGAACGCUGGCGGCGCGCUUAACACAUGCAAGUCGAGCGAGAACCUGGCCUUCGGGCCUGGGGAAAGCGGCGAACGGGUGAGUAACACGUGGGUAACCCACCCUUGGUACUGGGAUAGCCCGGGGAAACCCGGAUUAAUACCGGAUGGCCCAACAGCUCUCAGGGGCGGUUGGAAAAGGUAGCUUCGGCCUCCGACCAAGGACGGGCCCGCGGCGGAUUAGCUUGUUGGUGGGGUAACGGCCUACCAAGGCGACGAUCCGUAGCUGGUCUGAGAGGACGAUCAGCCACACUGGGACUGAGACACGGCCCAGACUCCUACGGGAGGCAGCAGUGGGGAAUCUUGCGCAAUGGGCGAAAGCCUGACGCAGCGACGCCGCGUGGGGGAAGAAGGCUUUCGGGUUGUAAACCCCUUUCAGGAAGGACGAAGCCACUCGGGUUAAUAGCCCAGAGGGUGACGGUACUUCCAGAAGAAGCCCCGGCUAACUACGUGCCAGCAGCCGCGGUAAUACGUAGGGGGCAAGCGUUGUCCGGAUUUAUUGGGCGUAAAGAGCGUGUAGGCGGUUUGGUAGGUCCGUUGUGAAAACUCGAGGCUCAACCUCGAGACGCCGAUGGAAACCAUCAGGCUAGAGUCCGGAAGAGGAGAGUGGAAUUCCUGGUGUAGCGGUGAAAUGCGCAGAUAUCAGGAAGAACACCCGUGGCUAAGGCGGCUCUCUAGUACGGUACUGACGCUGAGACGCGAAAGCGUGGGGAGCGAACAGGAUUAGAUACCCCAGUAGUCC
rnacentral:rRNA from 1 species